UCAAAAGGGACAGCUUGGAUGUGGUGCUGGAAUAUAUCUGACAUGGUACCCAGGUCUGGCUUAUUGUGGGAGCCCCGGUAUCACCUGUGGAUGCCAUGGUGGUUAAGAUGUUUUUGGCAAAGUGAUGGCUAUGAAGUGCCAUCAGGGAGAUCCAUCCUUUCACCAUGUUUCUUGUUGCUUUUGUAUCCACCAAUUUUGCUUGCAUUUUGCCAAGAGAAGUCUUAUUCAUUCUCUGACAUACACAGCUGGAUUUUUUCCUGUUAGUUCUCCAAAAGUAAUGCCAGUCCUUCACAUUUAGUAUCAAUGGCAAGUUCCAUUCAAACACUGAUUUAUUGGGAUAAUUAGCAGAGAUAAUAAAUCAGAUGAAGCAGACACAAUAAAUCAGAUGAAACGGAGAUAUCUGUGGUAACCCAUUACACAGCUCCACUCCCAUAUCAAAAAUUGGCUCUUUAUCAUCCCAUCAGUGGCCAGUGUUUGACCCCACAAGUGAGAACCGAUGCCCAAGCCAAGAGGCACUGAGAACAAUGGAUAACCUGCCCUUGUCAGGCUCCUUUGGGCAGAUGCUGUACAUGGAGUAAUCCCUUCUCAUCCCACAAUCUAGGAGCCCCUCGUUUUGACAGAGAGAAGCCAAAAGCUGAGCAGCCAGACCCCAGUGCUGGUGGGAACUGCACUGAAAGAAGCCCUGAUACCCAUCACUGUGUGGUGUGUGAGCAGACCUGGCUGUGCUCCUUCCCAGAGUCAUUUGGGACCACAGAUGGUGCCAAAUGUGGACACAUGCUGUGCUCCCUCAGCACUGUGCCAGCUGGGUUGUGGAGAACAUGACCACAGAGAGAAUGUGCAAAUGGGAAUGUCCUUGGAAAGGACGUUGCUGUCCACCUGGACACUGAGAUGCCAUUUCCCGUGGCAGGAGCUGAAGCUGCCUGAGCUUUUUCUAGAAGAUCCUCAAUAUAUCAAAUACCUGUGGCUACAUAUCCUUCUGUGUUUGUAUCUGCAACAUCCACCACGUGCAGUUGGGUCAUGUCCAUCCCACUGCCCAAAGGAUGAGUCUGCAACUACAGCAGCAUCUUUUGCUCAUGGAACUACAGAAUGGAGCAGCUGUGCUGGACAUUUCUUGGCUUUUUCUCAGUGGAGAAGAGACCAAAUCUCAAUUUUAGUGUUUCCACUGUCUGAGGCAUCUUUCUGAGGUCUGGUGACUGUCAAAAGUUUUCUCCUCUGUUUAUUUUGCCCUGCCAGUAUGAGGUUUUUCACACAAUCCAAAUCUGAGGCUGUUAAUGCAGAGCAAGGAGCCCAUGUUGGUCUGCAGGUCCUUCCAUCCCUGAGGGUUUCAGCGUAAAUGUCUUACAUGUAAAUGGUCGUAAUUCAGUUAAAUUCCAUUACAGGGGGAACAAUCUGCUUUUCUGCAUGAAUGGCUUUAUUUCCUAUAAGUUUUGAAGGAAAAAUAGAACAUUUUAAGUAAGUGCUUUGGUGAAAAGCAUCUGCCUGUUAGGAAGAAGAAAUUGCUUCCAUUUCACAAGAAAUAAUUGCACCCUCAACGUGCCCUUCCUGUUUCCAUCUCGUGGGCUUCUUCUCCUGGAAGAUGCCAGCGGUGUUGUCAAACCAUGAAAAUGCUGAGGAGAAAGUUCUGAAGGCUGGAAAGGAAAGUUGUGCUGGUUUCUCUGAACGUGUUGGUAGCUGGGUCUGUGAGAGCUGGCGAGCAGCUGGGGAGGCUCCAAGCCAUGGUAGCAAUGGCUUUGCUGGCAUUUGGAGACAAAGUGUUGGAGAGCACUGAUGAGGAGGAUGAAGAAGAGAAGGAGAGCAAGGUGGUGUAAAUGCUCCCAUAAUUAACCAAUUAAUAAUGACCAUCAUGUUACAUUGUCACUGCCUAAUGAAAGUAUGACAGUGUAAUAUGUAACGGGGCAUCAGCAUUGCUGGCUGGACCCUGAGACAGUUUCAUUUCACACAUCCCAAUGAGAACUGUCCAUCACGCUGUCAGAAGCCUACUCUGGAUAUUUUCCAAAGAGAAAAAUUUAGAAGUUUGGAAAAAUUUAAGGCUGAAGUGCUGUUACAGAGCUGCAGCCGGGCAAAAUGGGCAUCCAUGGCAGAGCCUGCAAAUAAAGCAGAUGUUCUGUGGGGAAA